UACUAUUUGAAAUUCUACAGAUGGAGACUCUCAAAGGGUACUUUUCCCUUUAACUUUCUCUCUUUGUUUCUAAUUUUGUUUUUUAGUAGUUUUAAUUGUUCAGGGUUUGACUCAAACCGUUUGAGAGCUUGGUGUUUACUUGCAACCACAUUCUUGGAUUCUCUAACACAAGGUUGUAAGGCUGAAUAUCGUGUGAAUCAGAUAAGGAAUAACUAUUUUAACUUAUCUUGAAUCAAUAUACAAUUAUAUUAAUCGAAAUAAGCUAGAGAAAGGUUUAUUUGUCUGUGGUAUAAGCAGUGGCAUAAGUUGCUGGAAGAACUUGCACGAUAGAGUAAAACAAGAAUAUCAACUAGCCACGAACUCCUACUUCUUAAAGCACCGCAAUCCGUAGCUGUGAAAAAAUGUGAGAGAUCAAGUUCUAGAGAAAAACCAAAAGCUAAGCAAGAUUCAGAUUUGUGGAAGUAAAGCUUUUGCAUGAUAAUUCAAUAAAAUCAUAUUCAGAUCUAUCGCAAUGGAGCAUUAAAAUGGUCGUGCGUCAUAUUUGCCCAUUCGAGUCCAAAGUCAAGAUCUAUUUAGAGCAAUCAAAAUACACAUUUUGAAAAGAAGUCUUCUUUCAUCCUUGCACGGUGAAGAACAAAGACUCUGCUUCCCUUUCCAGGAUUCUUAUUCGUUUGGUUGUUGAAAGAUACCAAGAACUCUCAUCAAAACUAGAGUACAAUUUUCCAUUGAAGUAGCAAGAGUAGAUCUAUGGAGGUGCUUUCCAGGAUUUUGAAGUAACGUGAAGCUGAAUAUUGAAAAUAUGCAAAGACAAAAAGGCUCGAGCGGGAAUCAGGGAGGUUCACUUCCAUUGACUUACAUCGACAGCAGAAGGCAGUAGUCAAGGUGCUCUCCUGAUUAGGUGGUGCUAGAGAAAACGAAGGAAAGCCUAGGUGCAUGGUGCAACAUAUGGUAAUUUGUUGGAUUGUUGCCCCCAAGACAUGAAAGUACUGAAACCAUUGGAAGGGCUUUGACUCUCGGUGUUAACAUCAAGAUGAUCACUGAUAACCAGUUGUAAACUUGGAAUGGGAAUAAACAUGUAUCCAUCUUCGGCUUUUCUUGGUACGCACAAGUGGUAGGAACCAACAAACCCCAUGGAUGAAUAUGUCUCUCAAGUCUCAAUGGUUGUAAGUUUUGUCACGUAAGAGACAUGGAGAACAUACCUGGCAGAGAAUCAAGUGAAUUCCUCCAAAGAACUGAUCAGAUUAGAAAGAGCUAGUGUCUUGCGGCUGAAUAGAAUGGGAGAUAUGUAAAGGAAGGAACAAAUACUUUUGACAAACUAUUUAGGCCAUCGUCAAAGAUUUUGCAACAUACACAUCCAUUAAUUAGUAUUCAGUAGACAGUGGAAAGAAGUGUCUAAAGGAAACUUGAACCCAGAUGUCUGCAUAGAGGUAAAUCCACAUAAGAUCUCACACCCUCGGCCAAGUUCACAUCACACAUUAGAAUUAUAGAACCUUGACGUGUCUUUAUUCGGUGGAGCAUGGAAUUCUUCUCAUUGUAGAUCGCUGCUUGACAUUGUUUGACAAUCCACUGGUCGACUCUCUUCACACAACUUACAAUGAGCUCAAGCUUAAAAAUGGGUGUGUUCGGCAUUCUAAAUCAAUGUCACAAAGGAGACAAGCGGUAAGAACCACCAAACCCCAUUGACGAAGAUGGUCUCCUGGAAGAUUUGGCACGUAAGAGACGUAGAGAACAUACUUGUUGGAGCAUCAAAUGAUUUCCUCCAAAGAAAUUGAUUAGAUUGGGAAGACUAGUGUCUCGCGGCUGAAUAGGUAAGCAUGCUUGGAGCAUAACGGCUAGCGGCAAUGUCCAACUGCCAUUAGGAACAACCUGAAAAUCUACAUCGACCUCUUUGAUAGCGUGAUAUAGUCAUGUGUGCAUGCAUACAUUCAUAUGUGCAUACAUUCAUACAUCCAUACAUUCAUGCAUACAUUCAUACAUUCAUACAUUCAUACAUUCAUACAUCCAUACAUGCAUGCAUACAUUCAUACAUGCAUACAUUCAUAC
rnacentral:sRNA from 1 species